UACGGAGGGUGCAAGCGUUAUCCGGAUUCACUGGGUUUAAAGGGUGCGUAGGCGGGCAGGUAAGUCAGAGGUGAAAUCUCCGAGCUUAACUCGGAAACUGCCUUUGAUACUAUCUGUCUUGAAUAUGGUGGAGGUAAGCGGAAUAUGUCAUGUAGCGGUGAAAUGCUUAGAGAUGACAUAGAACACCCAUUGCGAAGGCAGCUUACUACGCCUAUAUUGACGCUGAGGCACGAAGGCGUGGGGAUCAAACAGG
rnacentral:rRNA from 1 species